rnacentral:lncRNA from 1 species
GCAAUUCUUCAACCUAACUAACCACAGUUCUAACAUCAUUCAUUUUAAAAUCUAAAAACUUUCCCACAACAAAUUUCUUGGUUCCAGCAUCUUCUGUAGCAUAUUUCUUUUCUAAUGAAUUCCAUAACUCUUUUGCAGAUUUACACGAGUAGUAAACAUCAUACAGAUCUAAAGUCAAACAAUUCAGAAUAUAAUUCCUGCACAUAUAAUCCUUAUGUUCCCAAUUAGCUAAAUCC